rnacentral:rRNA from 1 species
GAUGAACGCUGGCGGCGUGCCUAAUACAUGCAAGUCGAGCGAACAGACGAGGAGCUUGCUCCUUUGACGUUAGCGGCGGACGGGUGAGUAACACGUAGGUAACCUACCUAUAAGACUGGGAUAACUUCGGGAAACCGGAGCUAAUACCGGAUAAUAUUUCGAACCGCAUGGUUCGAUAGUGAAAGAUGGCUUUGCUAUCACUUAUAGAUGGACCUGCGCCGUAUUAGCUAGUUGGUAAGGUAACGGCUUACCAAGGCAACGAUACGUAGCCGACCUGAGGGGGUGAUCGGCCACACUGGAACUGAGACACGGUCCAGACUCCUACGGGAGGCAGCAGUAGGGAAUCUUCCGCAAUGGGCGAAAGCCUGACGGAGCAACGCCGCGUGAGUGAUGAAGGUCUUCGGAUCGUAAAACUCUGUUAUUAGGGAAGAACAAACGUGUAAGUAACUGUGCACGUCUUGACGGUACCUAAUCAGAAAGCCACGGCUAACUACGUG